AUUGAACGCUGGCGGCAGGCCUAACACAUGCAAGUCGAGCGGAUGAAGGGAGCUUGCUCCUGGAUUCAGCAGCGGACGGGUGAGUAAUGCCUAGGAAUCUGCCUGGUAGUGGGGGAUAACGUCCGGAAACGGACGCUAAUACCGCAUACGUCCUGAGGGAGAAAGUGGGGGAUCUUCGGACCUCACGCUAUCAGAUGAGCCUAGGUCGGAUUAGCUAGUUGGUGGGGUAAAGGCCUACCAAGGCGACGAUCCGUAACUGGUCUGAGAGGAUGAUCAGUCACACUGGAACUGAGACACGGUCCAGACUCCUACGGGAGGCAGCAGUGGGGAAUAUUGGACAAUGGGCGAAAGCCUGAUCCAGCCAUGCCGCGUGUGUGAAGAAGGUCUUCGGAUUGUAAAGCACUUUAAGUUGGGAGGAAGGGCAGUAAGUUAAUACCUUGCUGUUUUGACGUUACCAACAGAAUAAGCACCGGCUAACUUCGUG
rnacentral:rRNA from 1 species